CUGACGAGAUCUGCAACAGUUGUUUUGACACUGACUGACAAUCAUUGCGAUUCGACAAGUAGAAAGGUCAGGUUCGUCGCUACCGGGUCGGCACGGCUCGGGUUCAAUCUGGUUGGAUGAUAUGGACUGCAAAGGAACUGAGAAGAUCCUGUCCAGCUGUCCGUUCAAGGGCUGGGGGUUGACCGACUGUUGCCACAAGGAGGGUGCAGGGGUCGUUUGUGAGAGAGCCCCACAGGGAACAGAGAUGGGGAGGGGAAGUUGGAAGUGGAGGAGAGGAACAUCUGCACCCACAAACUGAUCCUCUCUCUCUACCCACACUUCAACAUCACCAACGGGUCCAGUAACCUCUCCCUGGAGAUGAGUCAAGCCUGCAGCCCCUGUGUCACCAGCUUCAUCAGGUGCUAUUUAGAUAUGUUUAUUGGGUCAAUACAUGAUCCAGAAUGUUGUACAGUAUGUCUUAAAGGGGAAGUUCAGUAUUUUACAAUGUAAUGUAUGUGGGCAGCUGGAAGCCUAGCGGUUAAGUGCUGGGCCAGUUACAAAAAGGUCGCUGAUUAGAAUCCUUGAGCCGACUAUGUGAAAAAUCUGUCGAUGUGCCUUCGAGCAAGGCACUUAACCAUAGUUGCUCCAGUAAGUCGCUCUGGAUAAUAGCAUCUGCUAAAUGACUCAAAUGUAAAAUGUAUGAUGGAUACCCCUCUCACUCCCAUUGACUUUUAUCUAGCGGUGGCUAAAGUAUAACUGAAAUUUGUAGUGGCUGUUUAAAGGAAACCGAACGAUAGAUUUUAGUUUAUCCUGGCCCAUUGUCUACUUUUCACCCUUAAAUUAUAAAAUACAGAAUUUAUCCCCAAAAUCCAAAUCUGUCAGAUGAUUUUAGACCUCAUAAGUAGUCUCAUGUCAAGAUGAGUCUACGUCUCUUUGCAUCAAUUGUGUAGAUCCAGGGUGCCUUACUUAAAGCACAGUUUUUCUCUCGGUCCAACACCACUGGCUGAAGUUCCUUUAGCUAUGGUAUCUCCUCUCUUUUCUUUUUAAUAAAAGUUUUAAAUGAUGGUACUGUAAUUAUGGAAAAUGUUGAUCAAUUUGCAUAUGAAUCUUAAUUUCAUCAAAUAAUAUCAAAAUGUAUAACUGUUCUUACUUUAGAAUUAUGAACAUAACUAUAUUAACUAUGAAAUGUAGGCUUGCACUUGAA